rnacentral:tRNA from 1 species
GGGUCGUUAGCUCAAUUGGUAGAGCACCGGACUCUUAAUCCGGGGGUUGUGGGUUCGAUUCCCACACGACCUACCA